rnacentral:rRNA from 1 species
UGGCGACCGGCGCACGGGUGAGUAACGCGUAUGCAACCUACCUUAUACAGGAGUAUAGCCCGAAGAAAUUCGGAUUAAUCCUCCAUAGUAUUUUCUAAUGGCAUCAUUUGGAAAAUUAAAGCUUCGGCGGUAUAAGAUGGGCAUGCGUCCUAUUAGCUAGAUGGUAAGGUAACGGCUUACCAUGGCAACGAUAGGUAGGGGGCCUGAGAGGGUGAUCCCCCACACUGGUACUGAGACACGGACCAGACUCCUACGGGAGGCAGCAGUGAGGAAUAUUGGGCAAUGGAGGCAACUCUGACCCAGCCAUGCCGCGUGCAGGAAGAAUGCCCUAUGGGUUGUAAACUGCUUUUAUUUAGGAAUAAACCCUUCUACGUGUAGAAGGCUGAAUGUACUAAACGAAUAAGCACCGGCUAACUCCGUGCCAGCAGCCGCGGUAAUACGGAGGGUGCAAGCGUUAUCCGGAAUCAUUGGGUUUAAAGGGUCCGCAGGCGGACGUAUAAGUCAGUGGUGAAAUCCUGCAGCUUAACUGCAGAACUGCCAUUGAUACUGUACGUCUUGAAUUCGGUCGAAGUGGGCGGAAUGUGUAGUGUAGCGGUGAAAUGCAUAGAUAUUACACAGAACACCGAUAGCGAAGGCAGCUCACUAGGCCUGGAUUGACGCUCAGGGACGAAAGCGUGGGGAUCAAACAGGAUUAGAUACCCUGGUAGUCCACGCUGUAAACGAUGAUUACUCGUUUUCGGCGAUAUACAGUCGGAGACUAAGCGAAAGUGAUAAGUAUCC